rnacentral:lncRNA from 1 species
UGGUUUACUCUUUAUCUCUAUCUUCAUAUUCCCUGCUAGAGCUUAUUUCAAGCCAUUUUAAUUUUAUACAAUAGAUAAAAUCACCUCAAAAAUAUCUUCAAAACUAUUUUCUAUAUCUUUUAAGAAUUUUUUUUGGUUGAAUGUCGUUUUAGCUGUCUGCGACAAAGUUUAUAAUGGGUUGCUAUGAAACUUCUUCAAAAACAAAGUCCGUCGCUGAAAUAUAAUUUUCUUAUACAAAAAAAUUGAAAUGGGUUGUUCCAAGCUUUAUAGCUUGUCAUCUUCACCAACUUCACUGCUCCUUGUUACUUUUCUUUCCGUUCUUUUUUUUCUCGAUAGCUAUUCAACAUAGAACUCCUAUCACAGGAUCUCCAUGACGUCACAAGCUCUCCUCUGCCACCAGCCUCAUCGGAAACGAUCUGAUAUCGACGAAGUAAAGAAAAGAAGUUGUUGCCUCUCGCUAUUGUUCAUAGAUAGCCUGUUUGCCCAACAUGUUUUGACCGAUUUGAGGCUAAAAUGAGUUUAUCUGCCCUUUUCAAACCUAGAUAUGUAAAGUUGCAGCCUUUGACGUCCCUUGGCUGGUGAAGAAGAUUAAGGAGCUUGAAAAAAUUGGCUCCUCU